rnacentral:rRNA from 1 species
GUACACUCCUACGGGAGGCAGCAGUGGGGAAUUUUGGACAAUGGGCGAAAGCCUGAUCCAGCAAUGCCGCGUGAGUGAAGAAGGCCUUCGGGUUGUAAAGCUCUUUUGUCAGGGAAGAAACGGUGAAAGCUAAUAUCUUUUGCUAAUGACGGUACCUGAAGAAUAAGCACCGGCUAACUACGUGCCAGCAGCCGCGGUAAUACGUAGGGUGCAAGCGUUAAUCGGAAUUACUGGGCGUAAAGCGUGCGCAGGCGGUUUUGUAAGUCUGAUGUGAAAUCCCCGGGCUCAACCUGGGAAUUGCAUUGGAGACUGCAAGGCUAGAAUCUGGCAGGGGGGGGUAGAAUUCCACGUGUAGCAGUGAAAUGCGUAGAUAUGUGGAGGAACACCGAUGGCGAAGGCAGCCCCCUGGGUCAAGAUUGACGCUCAUGCACGAAAGCGUGGGGAGCAAACAGGAUUAGAAACCCGAGUAGUCCCA